GAUGAACGCUGGCGGCGUGCCUAAUACAUGCAAGUCGAGCGAACAGACGAGGAGCUUGCUCCUCGGACGUUAGCGGCGGACGGGAGAGUAACACGUGUAUAACGUACCUAUCAUACUGGUAUAACUUCGGGAAACCGGAGCUAAUACCGUAUAAUAUAUUGCACCGCAGUGGUCAAUGGUGAGUGACGGUGUUUCUGUCAGUUAUAGCUGCAUCCGCGCCGCUUUAGCUGGUUGGGAAGUUAACGGGUUACCAAGGCGACGAUGCGUAGACGAACGCAGAGAGUGGUAGGCCACACUGGAGCUGAGACACGGUCAAGACGCCUACGGGAGGCAGCAGUAGGGAAUCUUACGCAAUGGGCGAAAGCAUGACGGAGCAACGCCGCGUGAGAGAUGAAGGUCUUCGGAUCGUAAAACUCUGUUAUUAGGGAAGAACAAAUGUGUAAGUAAACAUGCACGUAUUGACGGUACCUAAUAAGAAAGCAACGGCUAACUACGUG
rnacentral:rRNA from 1 species